ensembl:lncRNA
AUGGUGCCACUUCUGAGUCUCUUCCUGUCAUGGCCGUCAAUCCAGAGCCUCAUCCUAUCAUUGCUGCUACUCCUGAGCCUCGUCACAGCACACCCAGCAUUUCAGAGUCUCAUCCCAUCAUGGCUACCGCUCUAUACCCUCAACCCGUUAUGGCCGCCACUCCAGAGUCCUCAGCCAGCCAUCAUGGCCGCCACACCAGAGUCCCCAGUCAUCAUGGUUGCCACACCAGAGUCCUCAGCCAUCAUGGCCACGAUGCCAGAGUCUUCAGGCAACAUGAUUUCCACACCAGAGCCUCCACCCAUCACAGACACUAUGCCAGAAUCUCAAGCCAUCAUAGGUGCCAUGCCAGAGUAUUCAGCCAUCACGGACACCACGUCAGUGUUCCCGGUUGUCAUAAAAGUUGCACAUGAAUCUAUUAGGACAACCCCUAGGCAUUUAAGACUAGCUUUAAGUCUGGAGGACACACCACUAAUGUUGUGUAGGCAGCUGGCAUCUCUGUGGUGCUAUCAAGUCUGGGGGUCUCAGAGGUGGUCCCACUGUCAACUGUACUCCCUGUUACAGAGAUGGCCAUUUUGUUUUUCUGGGCCACACACUGCUCUUCAGUCAAUGAGGUUGCUCCAGAGCUUGUUCCAGUUCAUGAAUCCACCCCAGAUCCCAUCCCAGUCCAUGAGUCCACUCCAGAGUACUUUUCAGUCUAAGCCUGCUCCAGCCCCAGAGCUCAGUCCUUUAUUGGCACCAGCCUGUGAGUUCCCUGCCUGUCCUGUCUCAACAACAGAGGUAAUCCCUGAGCAUCCUAACCGUCCUGUUUUGACCACAGUCGUCCCGGAAUUCUCUGCCUGUCCUGUCAAAGGGGCCAUUCUUGAACUCUCUGCCUGUUCUGUCACAGCCAUAGAAGCUGUUACUAACCUACCUGUGCUCUCUUUGACUGUUCCACCAGUUCUGCCGUGGUGUGCUUCUGUUCAGCCGUGGUGGUCUCCAGCACCACUGUGGUGUUCUCCAUCUCCACCUGAUUGCCGUGGUCGUCUUUUGCCCUGUCUGCUCUGCUGUGGUCUUCUGCUCCACCUUGGUGGUCCCCAGUCUCAUCAACUUUUGCUGUGGUGGCCAUCAGAUCUGCCGAAGUGGUCUUCAGCUCUAUCAGCUUCACCCUGGUGA